UACGAAGGGGGCUAGCGUUGUUCGGAAUUACUGGGCGUAAAGGGCGCGUAGGCGGUUCGAAUCGUCGGAUGUGAAAGGCCUGGGCUCAACCUGGGAACGGCAUCCGAUACGGUCAGACUUGAGUGUGGGAGAGGUUGGUGGAAUUCCCAGUGUAGAGGUGAAAUUCGUAGAUAUUGGGAAGAACACCGGUGGCGAAGGCGGCUAUCUGGCCCGUAAUUGACGCUGAGGCGCGAAAGCGUGGGGAGCAAACAGG
rnacentral:rRNA from 1 species